AUGGGGUUGAUUAUGCACACUGAUUAGAUGGUGUGUUGCAGCUGCGUGCUGCUUUUGGCUGAAUGCUUUGUUGUUUUUGUCUUUGGUUUGUGUGUUUUGGGAGAUGCACCAUGUUGGAAGCAUUGGUUGGAUUAUCAGGAGCCGUUCAGAAGGGCCUCACAUGUGGGUCAAGGCCUCUGAAAGGAUGUACGGGACUCACAUGCACAUAUGCUCAAUAUCCGUGGGCGGACAAAAUGAAGAAGGCUGGUAAGGAAGCAGUCCUGCUGGGAUUCACUGGAUUGGCAGCUCAAUAAGAACAAUAUCACAGGGACAACAACACGUGCUGCAGCCACAUCCUAAUCCAGUUCUGAUCUGACAAACACUUCCUAUCAACCAGCUCUCUCAACUCCUCCAUCACGUCCCGUCCAGUCCCCUCGCUGCUUUUCUAUUUGUAGAAAGCGGCAUCCAUCGUCAGGGUCUCGGAUACCU